rnacentral:rRNA from 1 species
AGCGAACGCUGGCGGCAGGCCUAACACAUGCAAGUCGAACGAACCUUUCGGGGUUAGUGGCGGACGGGUGAGUAACACGUGGGAACGUGCCUUUAGGUUCGGAAUAACUCAGGGAAACUUGUGCUAAUACCGAAUGUGCCCUUCGGGGGAAAGAUUAAUCGCCUUUAGAGCGGCCCGCGUCUGAUUAGCUAGUUGGUUGAGGUAAUGGCUCACCAAGGCGACGAUCAGUAGCUGGUCUGAGAGGAUGAUCAGCAACAUUGGGACUGAGACACGGCCCAAACUCCUACGGGAGGCAGCAGUGGGGAAUCUUGCGCAAUGGGCGAAAGCCUGACGCAGCCAUGCCGCGUGAAUGAUGAAGGUCUUAGGAUUGUAAAAUUCUUUCACCGGGGACGAUAAUGACGGUACCCGGAGAAGAAGCCCCGGCUAACUUCGU